rnacentral:rRNA from 1 species
GACGAACGCUGGCGGCGUGCCUAAUACAUGCAAGUAGAACGCACAGAUUAUACCGUAGCUUGCUACACCAUAGACGGUGAGUUGCGAACGGGAGAGUAACGCGUAGGUAACCUGCCUGGGAGCGGGGGGUAACUAUUGGAAACGAUAGCUAAUACCGCAUAAUAUUCAUUAUUGCAUGAUAAUUAAUUGACAGGUGCAAUUGCACCACUACCAGCUGGACCUGCGUUGUAUUAGCUAGUAGGAGAGGUAACGGCGCACCCAGGCGACGAUUCAUAGCCGACCUGGGGAGGUGGUCGGCCCCCCUUGGACCGGGACACGGCCCCGACUCCUUCGGGAGGCCGCAGUAGGGGAUCUUCGGCCAUGGACGAAAGUCUUACCGGGCAACCCCGCGGGAGUGAAGAAGGUUCUCGGAUCGUAAAGCUCUGUUGUAAGGGAAGAACGGGUGUGAGAGUGGAAAGUUCACACUGUGACGGUAUCUUACCAGAAAGGGACGGCUAACUACGUG